rnacentral:pre_miRNA from 1 species
UGUGUACUCCCUCCGUUCCAAAAUACUUGACUUCCAUUUGCCCAAAAAUGGAUGUACCUAUAUACUAAAACAUGUCUAGAUACAUCUAUAUUUUGACAAAUAGAAGGCAUGUAUUGUGGAACGGAGGGAGUAGAAU